rnacentral:tRNA from 1 species
GCCUCGGUAGUGUAAUGGAUAAAAGCCCGAUGCUUGAGCAGCACUUAUACGGGUUCGAGUCUCGUCCGGGGCC